ACCUUUUUGAAUCCAUGCAGUGAUUUGGUCAAAAACCAAACCAUUAUGAUCAGACUUCAAAGAUAAAUGAAGUU
rfam:Schistosoma haematobium scaffold1901_9, whole genome shotgun sequence.